rnacentral:rRNA from 1 species
CGGAUUGGAGUCUGCAACCCGACUCCAUGAAGCUGGAUUCGCUAGUAAUCGCGCAUCAGCCACGGCGCGGUGAAUACGUUCCCGGGCCUUGUACACACCGCCCGUCAAGCCAUGGAAGCCGGGAGUGCCUGAAGUGCGUGACCGCAAGGAGCGUCCUAAGGCAAUACCGGUGACUGGGGCUAAGUCGUAACAAGGUAAC